rnacentral:rRNA from 1 species
UCUUGUAGCAAUACGAGGAAAAGUCUAGCGGCGAACGGGUGCUUAACACGUGGGCAACCUGCCGAGAAGUGGGGGAUAGCUCGCCGAAAGGCGAAUUAAUACCGCAUGUGAUCAGAGUGGACAUCCACUCAAAAUUAAAGUCGGGGCAACCUGACGCUUCUUGAGGGGCCCGGGGCCUAUCAGCUAGUUGGUGAGGUAACGGCCCACCAAGGCUUUGACGGGUAGCUGGUCUGAGAGGACGACCAGCCACACUGGGACUGAGACACGGCCCAGACACCUACGGGUGGCAGCAGUCGAGAAUUUUUCUCAAUGGGGGAAACCCUGAAGGAGCGACGCCGCGUGGAGGAUGAAGGUCUUCGGAUUGUAAACUCCUGUCAUUGGGGAACAAUGCGGACGCGUUAACUGCGCGUUCGUUGAUAGUACCCGAAGAGGAAGAGACGGCUAACUCUGUGCCAGCAGCCGCGGUAAUACAGAGGUCUCAAGCGUUGUUCGGAUUCAUUGGGCGUAAAGGGUGCGUAGGCGGCGCGGUAAGUCGGGUGUGAAAUCUCGGAGCUUAACUCCGAAACUGCAUUCGAUACUGCCGUGCUUGAGGACUGGAGAGGAGACUGGAAUUCUCGGUGUAGCA